GCAGUUUCUUCGGCGGCGGUGCACCAUCACUACGUAUAGACUGAAGAUUGACACAACUCGGUUUCCCGGGAUCAGUCUACGAUUACAGUAUUUCAAUAAUUUCAUUCUGAAGCACAAAGAAGACGAAUGAAGAAAUAAGAGCUAGCUGUUUCUUCGGCGGUGAUGAUGCACGUUUGAACUGUAAAUGUGGUACAGCUCGAUUUCGCCGAACAGCGUCGAAGAAUACUUACAAUCAUGAUGAAGAUCGUAUGAAGAAAAUUUGGAGUUUCUUCGGCGGCGGUGCACCACUCCGUAUCCACGAUUAGCAGUAUCAUUAGGAAGCUGAUGAAUAACAAAAAAAAGUGUCGCAGGGCUGUGUUUGUUUAAUACUAUAAUUUUUUGAACAGUCGU